AGGGUUUGAUCAUGGCUCAGGAUGAACGCUAGCGGCAGGCUUAACACAUGCAAGUCGAGGGGCAGCGGAUGAGUAGCAAUACUUAUGCCGGCGACCGGCGGAAGGGUGCGUAACGCGUGAGCAACAUACCUAUAACAGGAGGAUAAUCCAGGGAAACUUGGUCUAAUACUCCAUAGAAUUAUUUAGAGGCAUCUUUAGAUAAUUAAAGCUGAGGUGGUUAUAGAUUGGCUCGCGUGACAUUAGCUAGAUGGUAAGGUAACGGCUUACCAUGGCGACGAUGUCUAGGGGUUCUGAGAGGAAGGUCCCCCACACUGGAACUGAGACACGGUCCAG
rnacentral:rRNA from 1 species